CCUCCUCCCCUUUCCCCCACAUACACACACACCCAUACACAUGCUGGUAUGUGAGCUCACACACACACACACACACACACACACACACACACACACACACACACACACACACAGGUAUGUACACAUGCUGGAUCAAAUGUUGGAACCAAAGAAGAGACUAUUUAUACUUGACUGAGAAAUUUAAACAUAAGACCUUCAGAGAUGCAGUGCAUUUGUUUGAAACUUAUGAGUUAUUGUCCUUUUUUUCCACAAAUCUUUUAAAUAAAAUAUAUUUUAUCAAAAUAAGGGCAAUUAUUUUCCUGAUUUACAUUAAAAUGUGGUUUGUCUUGUGAUAAACAAGAAACACAACUGUGCCAUGAAAAAACUGUCAAACAAAAUGAAGUGUAAAGUCAUAAUAUACCUCAGAUUGUGGUAAUGUCUGGGACAUUGAUUAUAUGGACAAAAGGAAAAAUAGAAAAUGUUUAUUUCUGUUUAUCUUUUGAGACUCUUUGUUUUCAAGCUGGUCUGACAUUUUUAGAAAAAGGGAUGUUUUUGUUAUAUGACCAGACGCUCAACUGCAGUUUGGAAAAUGGUCUCAACUUAAAUUUCUAAUAAGAAAUUUUCUUUGUUUGACACCUAACUGCUCACUUAACUUCCUGUGUUUAGCUCCAUUUGCAAAAAUCUGUUUUUCUUAACAACCAACUUAGUGUUAUAAAAUGUUUUUUUAAAUGUC